rnacentral:tRNA from 1 species
GGAGGGGUGGCAGAGCGGUUGAAUGCGGCGGUCUUGAAAACCGUUGGGGUCGCGAGGCCCUCGUGGGUUCGAAUCCCACCCCCUCCGCCA